GCCAGGGACUGUAAAAUAAACUCCACACACUCCCAAUAGGUUGUCCUAUUCCACUAUUCAGAUAUUAUGCUUAUUUAGACUUAUUAUUUAAAUGUAUAUAAUAAUAUUCUGCCUAUUUAUUAGAGACAUGGAGCUUUAGCUUUAAAUUCCCAAACACAUUAGAUCCAAGUUGACAUUAUUUAUUUGCAUUGACUUUGUUUGCGUCAAUGCAGAGCCAAAACAGCAAAAUUCAUGUCUAGUCACAUAAAUAUUGUAAUGUGUGUAUUCUGGAUGGCUUAUUAAAGGCAUUGCUGGCAUUACUUGCUGUGUAUGCUCUGGCUGAUGAUAAUGAUUUUCAUGUUUUCCGGUGUACACUAUAACAGUUAGGAAUAAAUUCCAUUAGCUGUUACUUUCUGAGAGUUUGAAUGUCCUGUAUCUUUUAAAUGUCCUCUAUAGACCUUUGUCAAUAAAUCCAAGGUAGGAAAACCCCAUACCAUAAGAACAGUUGAUUUAAUUUCAUAAGAAUUUGGUGUGUUCUGACAAAUCCAAAUGUUUUUUGCUGUGACCCAAAAGUUGUCUCCUCAGCACUGUAUAUUGAGCUCCUGACCUGGAGGUCAAAGGUGCACAGUGGAGCUCCACUAUGUAUUCUGUAGUAUGUAUGUUUGAUGUUCUCAUGUACAGUGUUGCUGUAAUGACUGCUCAAGCUCUGAGCGUGUGUAUUGGUCAGGGACAGGUGACUCAGCAGUUAGAGACAGUGCUGAUGUGAGAGGUGUGCCCAAUUUGCUUCACUUAAAGUUCUCACUGAGCAGGAGAACAUAAUCAAGCAAGCCUAGAUGACUAAGAGGUGCCAAGCUCUCUCUGCUUUUAAGGCUCUCCUGCAUCUCCACCUGCAGGGAACUCCUGUACCUGCAGUUAAAGGUGUUCGAGUCGGAGGUUAGGAACACGCCUUGCAGCAGCACUGCGUUAUGCCUGCUGAGUGCUCAGCUAGCCCAAUGCAACCGUAAUGCUGGCUCAGAAACGAGUCGAGCUGCCUUGGCCAACGCCUGCCUCGGUUUCCAGGCUAGCAUGAUGUUGGAGGGAUUGCCAUUGACUGGAGAUCCUCCUAAACAACUGACCAAACCGAAGUAGUGGCAGGAGCACUUGGCUAAAGGGAAGGAGAGAACAGAAAAGCAAAUCUGCGUUAAGGAAGUGAAAGUGAGCAGGUCAUUUGAGCGCACUGGUGCUGGAAGAGGGAACGGAAAAGGAGCUCCAGCCCAAGGGGGAACUACAGCCAUGGCUAAAACAUCUGCUACAACUCGAGGGGUCAAAACUGUUUCAGGGGCAGCAAGAGGAGUGGCUGUGGUUAAGCGGGAUGGAAAGAGUGCAUGCUAACCAAGCCCCAAAACCCAGUUUUCUGCCAGCAAGUCCAAACAGGAGUGCAUCACGCAACACACAAAACCAACAGCGCCUUUGGAGGAGAAGUGCAAGAUCAGUGAUUCCACCGCUCCAGCAGCUCUGAACCUGGAGGCCCAUGCUCCUCGGCUAGGAUUAGCCAGAGCCCUGGCACGUUCUUCAAACUCCCACCAGUAGGCCUGCUUUCUCUACCAAGUGGUUAUCACCAUGUCUCCACAGAGACAUAUUUCGGAGAUCAAACAGCUUAAUAUCGCCGUUGUCAUAACCAGCACAUACACAGCGGUCCUGG